rnacentral:tmRNA from 1 species
GGGGGCGAACGGUCUCGACUGGGUGGGAAGAAGCAGGGUGGCGAGCCGAGGUGCCGGGACCUCGCUAAUCAACCGGCAGGCCACAAAGGCCAACACGAACUACGCUCUCGCCGCGUAACGACGCGGUGACGUCCUCUCGACCGGGCCGGCAGGUCGGGUAGGGCGCGACGAGCCGGCUACCGCAGGCGGCCGCUGCCCGAGGCCGCCGGCGGGAACCCCACCGGGCUGGCCGCCAGGGGAUCCGGUCCGCGGGAGCCCCGGCGGUGAGACGAGAACGCGGACUACGCUCGUAGAGGCCUUGCCCUCAUCCACUCAGGACGCGGGUUCGAUUCCCGCCGCCUCCACCA